CUGUGGACCACCCUGUAAGCAGGGUCCAGGUCUCACUGUGCCUCUGGGGACAGCUCUGUCCUUUGCCUGGCUAUCAGCUCUCCCUGUAAGCAGGGCUGUGGGCCUUUCCCUUUUGCCCCUUGUGGGCAGUGUGACUAGUCAGGCAGGCCGGGCCCUGUAAGGCGGGUGCCGGUCUCAGCCUUCUUGCCCCCUGGGAGCGGAGGAGGAUUUUCCCGUGGAAGGCUGGAGGUGAAGCGGUUUGCGGCAUGGAGCUCCUUUCCAGCCUGGGAACAGUCUUUUUACCCGUGUGAGAGUGUGGAUGACGAGAGAGAGGAGUGCCUGGGAACAAAAGCAUUUAUUUUCUUUAUGUUCUUAAAAUCGCUGCAGCGUACUUUGUUUUCUUCCCAGUGCUGGAAAAGGGGUGAGAUGCGUCCUCGUUGCCUUCUCCUCCCACCUCUUCCCCUAGGGGGUUAAGCACUGCUAUUAAUUCUUGUGCCUUCUGGCCUGGGGGUGCAUUAGGCCACCCCUAAUCACUUUGGAAAAAAGACCUCAGUGUAUCUCAGGGUAGGGGCCCCCUUUUGUUGGGUGACUAGCAUGUUCUUGUGGUCACUCAGUAGCUCGCAUGAAGGGUUACUGCCGUCAUUUUUGAGAGCAGGCUAUGUAUUCCAUCCCCAAGUCCUUGGCGAGACGAGCGCCCUGGCACUUGGCCGGCUGUUUUUCGGCACCCCCACGCCCGGCCUGCAGCCUGUAAGCAGGGUGCAGGUCCCUUUGAUUCUCUACUUCUCGUUCCACUUGGAGAGGCCAGCCAGAGACGAUACCCACGGAUUGCAGGGAAAGUUGCAGGCUUCUGGAAGAUACUGAGUGUGUUGGGACCCCAAGGCUUCCUGACCUUCCUGUAACUUGGGUCCAGGUCUCUGCUCCUCUGCUCUGCUGCUCCUGGCGCUAUUGAGACGGCCUCCCGCGGCACCCUGUAAGCAGGGCUGCGCCCCCACCCCUUCUGGCCGUGGGGGGAAGAGACAUUGUUUAGACCUUUGGCCUCCGUUGGUUCUGUGAUGGGAGCCUGAAGUUGUGGCCCUCUUGUGCUCUGGACACACGGGGCAGCUUUGACCCCUGAUCGAGACCUCCCGAUGCAGCUGUCAGCUGGCAUUCGGGGCUUUGCAGGUUGUCUCCGGGCUUCAUACCCCAGCAGCCAGCUGUGUGCAGGGAGCACCGCCCUGUAAGCAGGGUUGCCGGUGCUUGCGGUCACCGUUCAUGGUGCCGCCCGAGCAGUUCUGUCCGGAGUUCUGGCCCAUCGCACUCUGCUCCUGGCUGGAUGUCAGAGGCCGAACCUGCAGACGUCUGCUCUUCCCACUUUGCACGGACUGACGAUGGAGUGGCAGCAGGUCCAUUCACAGGCUCCAGAAGGAGAAGCAGGGAAAUGGCAGACGAGCAGGAGUUAGCCACCAAGGAGGGAAGAGACCCACGUCAGCCCACCCGGAGGGAAGGUAAAGGAGUUUGAACACAGUGUCUGUCCUCUCUGCAAGUUGCAUCCCCAAGUUGCCGACCUUGUGAUGAACAUGUCGUGGAAGGUUUGGAGCAGUGGGACCCCCUUAUACACAGGAUUCGUGCCUUAGGUCCUCCUGUUGUCAUACACGGGUCCCUGAAGGGCAGCUGGACAAGAGCGAACGGAAGCAGGAAAAGAAGCUGGGGAACAAAU